UACGGAGGGUGCGAGCGUUUGUCCGGAAUCAUUGGGCGUAAAGGGCGCGUAGGUGGCGCGGCAAGCGUGCGGUGAAAGCUCGGGGCUCAACCCCGAGUCGGCCGUGCGAACUGCUGGGCUUGAGCACUGUAGAGGCAGGCGGAAUUCCGGGUGUAGCGGUGGAAUGCGUAGAGAUCCGGAGGAAGACCGGUGGCGAAGGCGGCCUGCUGGGCAGUUUCUGACACUGAGGCGCGACAGCGUGGGGAGCAAACAGGG
rnacentral:rRNA from 1 species